CCUACAUCAAUGAGAAGAAAUUAAUUGUACAGACCUCAUACAACAUUUAUAUGGUAGCUCCCCUGGCCUCCACUCUGCUGCCCCUACAAUUUAGGCAGUGCCAUCAAAACUGUGUUAUAGAAACCGUGCCAUACAAAACAGUGCCAUCCAAACCGUGUCAUACAAAACAGUGUCAUACAAAACAGUGCCAUCCAAACUGUGUCAUACAAAACAGUGUCAUCCAAACCGUGUCAUACAAAACAGUGUCAUACAAAACAGUGCCAUCCAAACCGUGCCAUCCAAACUGUGCCAUCCAAACCGUGUCAUACAAAACAGUGUCAUACAAAACAGUGCCAUCCAAACCGUUGUCAUACAAAACAGUGCCAUCCAAACCGUGUCAUACAAAACAGUGUCAUACAAACCGUGCCAUCCAAACCGUGUCAUACAAAACAGUGUCAUACAAAACACUGCCAUCCAAACCGUGCCAUCCAAACCGUGUCAUACAAAAUAGUGACAUACAAAACAGUGUCAUACAAACCGUGUCAUACAAAACAGUGCCAUUCAAACCGUGUCAUACAAAACAGUGCCAUUCAAACCGUGUCAUACAAAAUAGUGUCAUACAAAACAGUGUCAUACAAACCGUGCCAUCAAACCGUGUCAUACAAAACAGUGCCAUUCAAACCGUGUCAUACAAAACAGUGCCAUUCAAACCGUGUCAUACAAAACAGUGCCAUUCAAACCGUGUCAUACAAAACAGUGCCAUUCAAACCGUGUCAUACAAAACAGUGCCAUUCAAACCGUGUCAUACAAAACAGUGCCAUUCAAACCGUGUCAUACAAAACAGUGCCAUACAAAACAGUGCCAUCCAAACCGUGUCAUACAAAACAGUGCCAUACAAAACAGUGCCAUCCAAACCGUGUCAUACAAAACAGUGUCAUACAAAACAGUGCCAUACAAAACAGUGUCAUACAAAACAGUGUCAUACAAAACAGUGCCAUACAAAACAAUGACAUACAAAACAUUUACGUGCAACGCAUGCUUCCCUUUGUGCUGGGGUGUAACCUGACUCUCAGGUCAUGAUGAGGAGAUGAAGGAAACACCCAGUUGUUUGGUUCCUCUGUAUGUAGAGUCAGAGGAAGAUGAUGAUGAUGAGGUGAUAUCUCUCGCUUUAACAGGGUCUAUAGGGGAGUGUCUCAGGGGUUUCAACAACAGGAGAUUGGUGGCAACUUAAUUGGGGAG
ensembl:lncRNA